AGCUUAUAUUCGAGUAGAGAAAAAAGGGAUUUGAGUCCUUGCUGCCACUAUCGGAAAGGUUGGAAGGCUGGUUACAGUUUCAUACUGAAGAGUACCUUCUUUAUCUAUUAGAUGAAAAGCUACGAAUCAUAAGGACCAAAGGCACCAUAGGAGACAGGAGACCUGCAAACACUUAUUUACUACUACGGGAAGAGAGACUUUAAGACCAACUUCGCUUUCCCCCAGCCAUCUGAGAAUUCAAGCCAAGAACUGUGAACUUAGCCUUGCCUAAUAAUAGAGCUAAAAAGCGGAAAGAGUCUCCUUUUAGCCAUAUAAAAUAUGGACAAUAUUCCCAUAGACAGUAAAUAAGCCUAC
rnacentral:lncRNA from 1 species